rnacentral:misc_RNA from 1 species
GAGAGAAAAUACAAAUAUCGAAUGGUUCAGAAAGUUUUGAAAUCGGAAAAAUACGAGGAUAAUGUAUGUCGAUGGAAAUAAGAUUUCACAUACUGUGUUUUUCUGUGAUAUUUUAUGCUAUCUAUUGGAUAUGAAUUUUGAUACGUUUGGAGAACUCAUUAAGUACUUGCCUUUCAACUUACUUGACACGAUGAUUUGUGAUUUGUGUGUAUGGCUAUUAAGCAACUUUUUGUCCUCGGCUUUUGGUUUCAA